AGGCAGUCUACCUGCCUUACCUCAGUCAGGGCUGAAGGAACUUUCUUCUGCUUCUUGAAGGUUGAGGGGUUGAUGCUGUGGAAGACGGAUGAGAAGGCACUGCUCGAGAAGCGUGGGGAGGACAGGGGAAAGCUCAUGCUCACGGGCCGCUCUGUAACCAAGACAAGUCAUAGAGGAAUGGAGGACUGCUUUUGUUCUGAGCCUCCCCAGAAAAGUGGUUUCAGGCACCAACCACGGGCCGGCGAGAAGCCACGUGGGCCACCUGGAAGAAUGGAGAUGGUGUCCCCAGGUUACCUCUCAUCAUGCCUGGGACAUCCCCGCCCCUCUUCUUCAGCUCCCCAUAGCAGCCAUCACAGACCUUGGCCAUCCGGUCCUUGAGGUGACUGCAUCAAAGAACCAGGUGGCACUGUGGAGUACUACGUAGCAACCAAAAGGAACUGAUGGUACACACGACAGCAUGGAUGAAUUUCGAAGACAUGCCAAGUGAAAGAAGCCAGACACAGAGGAGGAUACACUGCUUCAUAACAUUUAUAUGAAGUGCCAGAUCAGGAAAAGCUAACCUGUAGUGAUGGAAAUUAGGCCAGUGGUUGCCUGAACAGGGGGUGGAGGAAGUGAGUGCUAAGAGGCACAGGGGAACAUUCAAGAAAUAUUCUGUAUCUUGGGGCGCCUGGAUGGCUCAGUCG